GUGCUUGCUUCAGUAGCACACAGACUAAAAUUGGAAUAAUACAGAGAAGAUUAGCCUGGCCCCUGUGGAAGGAUGACACACAAAUUCGUGAAGCGUUCCAUAUAUUU